rnacentral:lncRNA from 1 species
ACCCUCCCCUAUGGAGCUCCAGAGAAGGGAUUCGCUCACUCCACCGCGGGAGGAGGAAAGGGAGCUACCUAGCAGCAAGGGUUGUGUAGAGGACCUGUGGACUUGACAGCCUCUUAAACAAACUAACACGGAAGGAGUACCAUAGAGACCAUAACAAACAAGGGGGGGGGAAAGCAACCCUCAGAGGAAAAAGAAACCACACGGUGAGAAGAAAAAUCAAAUACAUGUGCACAGAGAUAUAUAAUCGAGCUACAAAUUACUAUUGCAAGCAUAAAACAAGGAUGGCUGGGCGCUGUGGCUCACGCCUGUAAUCCCAGCACUUUGGGAGGCCGAGGCAGGCAGAUUACGAGGUCAGGAGAUCGAGACCAUCCUGGCUAACAUGGUGAAACCCCGUCUCUACUAAAAAUACAAAAAAUUAGCCAGGCGUGGUGGUGGGCGCCUGUAGUCCCAGCUACUCAGGAGGCUGAGGCAGGAGAAUGGCGUGAACCCGGGAGGUGGAGCGUGCAGUGAGCAGAGACCGCACCACUGCACUCUAGCCUGGACGACAGAGCAAGACUCCGUCUCAUUUAAAAAAAAAAAAAAAAACAAGGAUACUAUUUUUUAAAUUACCUAUUAUGGGAACAUAAUCGUAUAUAUUUAUAGUGUACAUGUGUGUUUGUUUUUUUUUUGCUCAGGCUGGGGUGCAAUGGCGUUAUCUCUGCUCGCAGCAACCUCCGCCUCCCAGGUUCAAGCGAUUCGCCUGCCUCAGCCUCCCAAGUAGCUGGGAUUACAGGCAUGCACCACCACGCCCGUCUAAUUUUGUAUUUUUAGUAGAGACGAUGUUUCUCCAUGUUAGUCAGGCUGGUCUCGAACUCCCGGCCUCGGGUGAACUGCCCGCCUUGGCGUACCAAAGUGCUGGGAUUACAGGUGUGAGCCACUGCGCCCGGCCUUUUUUUCUGGGGCGGGGCGGGGGACGGGUAAAGAAAUUUUAAUGAGGAUUCAAGGUUUGUAGGGAAGACACAGAGGACCGGCGCUCAGCCCCAGCCUCCUCACGUGUACAUGGCUCCAUGGAGGUUCUCCAGUCGGUUCUGCUGCUGCUGCUGUUUUCGAGCCUUAUCUCGUCUGUGUUCCUCAUAAGUGUAGUCAUCAGUGGGCAGCUCAUGGCGGCACAAGGGACAGGAAUUUGUCUUGCUUAGCCAGGGCAGAAUGCAACUGGAAUGAAAAAGGUGUUGGGAAGCAUCUCAAUGGCAGUCUCCUCCUCAGAUUCCAAAAGAUACACGGGGCACUUGAGCUCAGCCUUGAGAGCCUCUGAUGACUGUCCUGGAGAGGUUCUCAACCACAAUCUUGGCAGCCGGUGGAGGCAGGUGGUGGUCCCAAUCUACUACCAACCCCAAGUCUUCAAAGUCCAUCCUAUUCAAAAGUGACCUUACGAGCUCCAGCACCAUGUUGGUUCGAGUCUCCUGCUUGAGGGUCCAACGGCUCACAGUCGUGUUCAUCGAUAUAGGACGCCAUGGCUGCCCAGCCGUCUGACAUGUGAUGUUUUGAUACAGGUAUACAAUGUGUAACUAUCAAAUCCGAGUAACUGGGGUAUUGAUCAUCUUGAGAAUUUAUCAUUUCUUUGUGUUAGGAACAGUCCAAUUCCACUCUUUUAGUUAUUUUAAAAUAUGCAAUAAAUUAUUAACUGUAGUCACUCUGUUUUAUUGUUGUUGUUGUCGUCAUUUGUUUUGGUUUUGGUUUUUUUGUUUGUUUUUUGAGACAAGUUCUCCCUCUGUUGCCCAGGCAGGAGUGCAGUGGUGCAGCCAUAACCCACUGUAACCUCAAACUCCUGGGCUCAAGGGAUCCACCCACCUCAGCCUCCUGAGUAGCUAGGACUAUAGACUGGCACCACCAUUCCUGGCUAACUUUUUUUUGUUGAGACAGUGACUCGCUAUGUUGCCCAGGCUGGGCUCUACUCCUGAGCUCAAGCGAUUCUCCUGUCUUGACCUCCCAAAGUGCUAGGAUUACAGCCAUGAGCCACUGCACCUGGCCCCUAACUGUAUUUUUGGACCCAUUAACCAUCCCCAAUUUAUGCCUUCCUCCCUGCUACCCUUUCAGCCUUUGGUAACAAUCAUUCUACUCUCUAUCUCCUUGAAUUCAAUUUGUUUAAUGUUAAGCUCCCACAUAUGAGAGAAAAGGAUACUAUUUAAAAGGAGCAUUGGCUGGGCACGGUGGCUCCUGCCUGUAAUCUCAGCACUUUGGGAGGCUGAGGCAGAACAAAUUGCCUGAGGUCAGGAGUUCAAGACCAGCCUGGCCAACAUGGUGAAAGCCUGUCUCUACUAAAAGUACAAAAAUUAGCCAGGCCUGGUGGUGGGAGCCUGUAAUCCCAGCUACCCAGGAGGCUGAGGCAGGAGAAUCUCUUGAACCCAGCAGGCAGAGGUUGCAGCGAGCCGAGAUUACACCACUGCACUCCAGCUGGGCAACAAAGCAAAACUCUGUCUCAAACAUAAAUAAUUAAAUAGAUAAAUAAAUGAAUAAUAAAAGGAGCACUCACUUGUAAAUGGGGAGGGUAAAAAUAAAUAAAAUAAGAAAAGCAUUCAGAGAUGAAAAAAUAUGACAGCAGAAAUUAAAAUUUCAAGAGUGGAAAGAUAGGCCAAGUGCAGUGGCUCACGCCUGUAAUCCCAACACUUUGGGAGGCCAAGGCACGUGGAUCGCUUGAGGCCAGGAGUUCGAGACCAGCCUGGCCAACAUGGUGAAACCUGGUCUCUACUAAAAAUACAAAAUAUUAGCUGGCCAUUGUGGCACGUGCACCUAUAGUCCCUGCUGCUUAGUAGGCUGAGGAACAAGAAUUGCUUGAACCCAGGAGGCUUUUAAUUUCUGCUGUCAUAUUUUUUGUUCUCUGAAUGCUCUUUUUAUUUUAUUUAUUUAUUUUUAUCCUCCCCAUUUUCACAAGUGAGUGCCCCUUUUAUUAUUUAUUAUUUGUUUGUUUGUUUCUUUGAGACAGAGUUUCGUUCUGUUGCCCAGGCUGGAGUGCAGUGGCACGAUCUUGGCUCACUGCAACCUCCGCCUCUGGGGUUCAAGUGAUUCUUCUGCCUCAGCCUCCCUAGUAGCCAGGAUUACAGGUGCCCGCCAUCAUGCCCGCCUAAUUUUUGUAUUUUUAGUAGAGAUGGGGUUUCAUCACAUUGGCCAGGCUGGUCUUGAACUCCUGACCUCAGGUGAUCUGCCCACCUCAGCCUCCCAAAGUGCUGGGAUUAUAGGCAUGAGCCACUGUGCCUGGCCUUUUCUUUGUUUUGUUUUGUUUUUUGCUUUUUUUUCCUAGAACAUUUAUCAACAUUUAUCUUCCCACACUUUGUUUGUUUGUUUUUAUUUUGAGACGGGGUCUCACUCUGUCACCCAGGCCGGAGUUUAUUGGCAAGAUCUUAGCUCACUGCAACCUCUGCCUCCCAGGUUCAAGUGAUUCUCCUGUCUCAGCCUCCCAAGUAGCUGGGACUACAGGUGUGCACCACCACACCUGGCUAAUUUUUGUAUUUUUAGUAGAGAUGGGGUUUCACCAUGUUGGCCAGUCUAGUCUCAAACUCCUGACCUCAAGUGAUCUGCCCGCCUCAGCCUCCCAAAUUGCUGGAUUACAGUUGUGAGCCACCACGCCUGGCCAAAAACUGGAAUUCUGUACUUAAUUAGUGAACUAUGAAUCAAAUGUGAGGUUAGAAUAAAAAUGUGGGGUUUUUUUUAACACUCUUGUAGUCAAGAAUAAAAAUAGACAUUAAAGAUCUCAAAAAAUUU